AUGGCGGAUCGGCCGGGAGAUUCGUGGCACAAGGAGAAUUUGCCAGAGGAGCCAAAGCAGCACCAUCCUGCUCAAGCCGCAGUCUCAUCCGCUGCUUCCAGAGGGAGGUACGCAAGGAGUCGAGCUGGGUGGGCUUCCAAGGAGAGGAGUACCCCAUGCAUCAGGAGCCAAGCUGCUUAUGCUUCUAAGGAGAGGAGCACUCCUGAAGGUGUCAACAUGGACGAACAUGGAUUUAGGUUUCGGUUCAAUUUCCCUCGACCCAAAUAUGAGUACGGCACCCUGGAUUUCGGUGAGGACGAUGAAGAUGAGUGUUUACCGAGGCAGAGAAAACCUCCGGAGGUAAGGAAUGCACUCCGUGAGAAGAGAGUCGCGUUUCGGCAAAAGACCACGCGCCUCCAUGCCAAGGUAGCUCUGCGUAAAUACAACAGAGCAAACAGCACCAAGUUUGAGCUGGUGGAGGUACGAGUGAUCCGUCAAUUUUGGGAGUUUGGAGGGGGCUGCAUCCAUUACAACUUCACCGCUAAGCCACAGGAUCAGCAUUCUGCUGAUGACGACAGCACCAAGCUCUUCUUCUCUGAAAUAGACUCCCCUUUCCAUGGCGAGAAUGAUGUGCUCCUGUGCUGCAUUGUUGGGGAAAAUGAUAAUGGGCAUUGUCACGGCUGCGAAGGCUUCAAGCCAACCGUUGUUCACCCUAGUAGCCAAGCAUAUGGCGGCGGUAGUAGUACGUGCAUUGAUUUUGCUGGUUCAGACGGCAGCUCAGAGAGUGAUUAA
rnacentral:rRNA from 1 species